rnacentral:rRNA from 1 species
AACGAACGCUGGCGGCAGGCUUAACACAUGCAAGUCGAACGAUGUAGCAAUACAUAGUGGCGCACGGGUGAGUAACGCGUGGGAAUGUACCUUAUAGUGGGGAAUAACGUUGGGAAACUAACGCUAAUACCGCAUACGCCUUCGGGAAGGAUUAUCGCUAUAAGAUCAGCCCGCCGUGAGAUUAGGUAGUUGGUGGGUAAGUGGCCUACCAAGCCUACGAUCUCUAGCUGGUCUGAGAGGAUGAUCAGCCACACUGGAACUGAGACACGGUCCAGACUCCUACGGGAGGCAGCAGUGGGGAAUAUUGGGCGAAUGGAGGAAACUCUGACCCAGCCAUGCCGCGUGAAUGAUGAAGGCUUUAGGGUUGUAAGUUCUUUCGUCCGAUGAAGAUAAU